UGCAUGUACAUCUCAACCAAAGACCAGACAUGCCUCGCUCUAGGGUAGCGAAAUAAAGUAUGCUCCAAGGUCUCCUCCUCAAAUCUACAACAAGGGCAAGCCAACCGGAUGUCCAUACCUGGAGCCCGCAAAAGAGAUCUAGUUGGAAGUCGGCCCUAAGCCAUCAUUCAGAGGAACAAACUCACUCUCGGGUGCACCUC
rnacentral:lncRNA from 1 species